rnacentral:tRNA from 1 species
UUGAAUUGAAGUCAAAAAGCGACAAGUUAUUGUUAAUAACUUAAUUGAAAUUACUUUUCCUUUUCA